AAAAAAGAAUAAUUACAUCAGAACCAGAGAAGACCUGGUGCUUUCUACUGGCUUUUAGAUUUAUGACUAUCACAAAAUUCUUAGGAUUCACCUUUCUGUUUUAAAGGUUGAUAGACUGGAUGCAGCUAUGGUAAUCUGCCUCAGGAAAGUGCCGGACUGUUGUUUGCAAGCUUGUUAAGUGAGCAAAACUUGGGAAGAUUUCAAGACUGGAAAGUAUCCAGAAAUAAAGGCAUUCAGAAAUGGAGGCACACAUAGAUGAAGGCAAAGGACAUUCCUAUGAAGGCAGGUCUGACAGCCCUGCCAUUUCCUAACUUCUGCUGUGUGGGCCAUCUACCUACCUUUGGGAACCUCCAAUCAAUACUCACAGAGUUGGUCUCAUCCUGGGAACUCUCUUGCCUCUCCCCAUGGUUCAUUCUCCAAGUCUGAGUUAUUUGGUCAAAAAAAACCCCAAAUGCUUCAGAAAACUCUCGCAAACUUGUCAUAGCUUUUGAUGUUCCAGGCCACAGAAGAGCCCAGACAGAGCCUCUGCUGCAUCUCUACUAAAAAUACAAAAAAUCUCUCACAGAGUCUUGCUGUGUCGCCCAGGCUGGAGUGCAGUGUCAUGAUCUCGGCUCACUACAACCUCUGCCUCCCAGGUUCAAGUGAUUCUCCUGCCUCAGCCUCCCAAGUAGCUGGGACUACAGGCGCUCGCCACGGAGCCUGGCUAAUUUUUUGUAAUUUUAGUAGAGACAGGGUUUCACCAUUUUGGCCAGACUGGUCUCGAACUCCUGACCUCAUGAUCUGCCCACCUUGA
rnacentral:lncRNA from 1 species